rnacentral:ncRNA from 2 species
AGAUGAGGUAGAGGUCGCGAUAUUUAUCAGUACGCUAGUAACAAGAGCCGGAAAGCUUGAUGACGCUAGCGGAAAGGAACUAUCGCCGAAGCGCUGUUCUUUUCCGAGAAUGGCAGCUGGGACUGCAGCCGAAUAGGUGCAGGACUGUCAUGGGAAUACAUACUUCAUGCUCCCAUGGAGAACUAUCCGUUUU